rnacentral:rRNA from 1 species
GUCUUAACGGAAAGGCCCUUCGGGGUACUCGAGUGGCGAACGGGUGAGUAACACGUGGGUGAUCUGCCCUGCACUUUGGGAUAAGCCUGGGAAACUGGGUCUAAUACCGAAUAGGACCGCAUGCUUCAUGGUGUGUGGUGGAAAGCUUUUGCGGUGUGGGAUGGGCCCGCGGCCUAUCAGCUUGUUGGUGGGGUAAUGGCCUACCAAGGCGACGACGGGUAGCCGGCCUGAGAGGGUGACCGGCCACACUGGGACUGAGAUACGGCCCAGACUCCUACGGGAGGCAGCAGUGGGGAAUAUUGCACAAUGGGCGCAAGCCUGAUGCAGCGACGCCGCGUGAGGGAUGACGGCCUUCGGGUUGUAAACCUCUUUCAGCAGGGACGAAGCGCAAGUGACGGUACCUGCAGAAGAAGGACCGGCCAACUACGUGCCAGCAGCCGCGGUAAUACGUAGGGUCCGAGCGUUGUCCGGAAUUACUGGGCGUAAAGAGCUCGUAGGUGGUUUGUCGCGUUGUUCGUGAAAACUCACAGCUUAACUGUGGGCGUGCGGGCGAUACGGGCAGACUGGAGUACUGCAGGGGAGACUGGAAUUCCUGGUGUAGCGGUGGAAUGCGCAGAUAUCAGGAGGAACACCGGUGGCGAAGGCGGGUCUCUGGGCAGUAACUGACGCUGAGGAGCGAAAGCGUGGGGAGCGAACAGGAUUAGAUACCCUGGUAGUCCACGCCGUAAACGGUGGGUACUAGGUGUGGGUUUCCUUCCUUGGGAUCCGUGCCGUAGCUAACGCAUUAAGUACCCCGCCUGGGGAGUACGGCCGCAAGGCUAAAACUCAAAGGAAUUGACGGGGGCCCGCACAAGCGGCGGAGCAUGUGGAUUAAUUCGAUGCAACGCGAAGAACCUUACCUGGGUUUGACAUGCACAGGACGCCGGCAGAGAUGUCGGUUCCCUUGUGGCCUGUGUGCAGGUGGUGCAUGGCUGUCGUCAGCUCGUGUCGUGAGAUGUUGGGUUAAGUCCCGCAACGAGCGCAACCCUUGUCUCAUGUUGCCAGCACGUUAUGGUGGGGACUCGUGAGAGACUGCCGGGGUCAACUCGGAGGAAGGUGGGGAUGACGUCAAGUCAUCAUGCCCCUUAUGUCCAGGGCUUCACACAUGCUACAAUGGCCGGUACAAAGGGCUGCGAUGCCGUGAGGUGGAGCGAAUCCUUUCAAAGCCGGUCUCAGUUCGGAUCGGGGUCUGCAACUCGACCCCGUGAAGUCGGAGUCGCUAGUAAUCGCAGAUCAGCAACGCUGCGGUGAAUACGUUCCCGGGCCUUGUACACACCGCCCGUCACGUCAUGAAAGUCGGUAACACCCGAAGCCGGUGGCCUAACCCCUUGUGGGAGGGAGCCG